UAGGGAAUCUUCGGCAAUGGACGAAAGUCUGACCGAGCAACGCCGCGUGAGUGAAGAAGGUUUUCGGAUCGUAAAACUCUGUUGUUAGAGAAGAACAAGGACGUUAGUAACUGAACGUCCCCUGACGGUAUCUAACCAGAAAGCCACGGCUAACUACGUGCCAGCAGCCGCGGUAAUACGUAGGUGGCAAGCGUUGUCCGGAUUUAUUGGGCGUAAAGCGAGCGCAGGCGGUUUCUUAAGUCUGAUGUGAAAGCCCCCGGCUCAACCGGGGAGGGUCAUUGGAAACUGGGAGACUUGAGUGCAGAAGAGGAGAGUGGAAUUCCAUGUGUAGCGGUGAAAUGCGUAGAUAUAUGGAGGAACACCAGUGGCGAAGGCGGCUCUCUGGUCUGUAUCUGACGCUGAGGCUCGAAAGCGUGGGGAGCAAACAGGA
rnacentral:rRNA from 1 species